UAGUAUACGAGGAAACGCUGAAGGAGGAAGACGACUGCUGAAGAGGAAGACGAAGAGGAGGAGGAAGGAGAGGAGGAAGAGGAGUUGAUGGACCUUUGCAAUCUGCACCGCUGUUCCACUUGUUCCGCCCUCCAAAUACUCCUUCCUACCUACGAGGGCUUCGUGGUGCAGUGGUUAGCACACUCGGCUCACAAUUGAGAGCCCAGGUUCAAUUCCCGGGUGGAGUUGAAAAAUUUGGGCGGCUUUUCCGAUACCCUACGCCCCUGUCCACCCAGCAGUGAAUGGGUACCAGGCUUUCUCAGGGACAACCAGGAGAAGACGAAGAUGAAAUUACAAAACCCAGAAGGCUGAAAGAGGAAGCCAGUCAGUCAGUCUACAGUCAUUACAAAACCCUGAAGACAAGACUGGAGGAGGAAGUCAGUCUAGUGUCAUCCCAAGAGGAGGCGGCCUGAGGUGCCAGCCAUCCACAGUCCACUCUUAUUCUCCCGUCCACUGAAGAAGGCACCAAGUAAGAGUUGCAAGGCAGAAGUGUGAGCUACAGAAAAAAGUGUCAAGAUGCAGUGUGGAGGGCCAGUUUCUCAAGAUGAGCCGGAGCAAGGCUGCCUCAAGCUGCUGUCCAAUCAGCGAAGAGAUCACCUCGGCAGCCCGGCAGGCCACAAUGGCAAUGUUCAGACUACAACAGCGUUCAGGGAAAACAAAACUACACACAUUUCGCGGCAGCCAUGGAGUCAUUAUUGAAACUGAAUUAUUAGCAUUAGAGUUUUACUAUGGAGAUAUACAUAUAUUACCACUGUAGUGAAAGACAGAGUAUGGAAGGAAAAUCACCAAAAUUUGUAGAAGUUUAGUAAAAUAAAUGUUUGCAAUAUACAAAAAAUCUACAAAAGGUGAAAAUGACAUCCUGAAACUAAGGUGAAGAUAUGAAAGCAAAAUACCUUGCCUGAAAAGGUGUGUAAAAACCUGCCUGGGUACACAAGUGCCUGAAAAGGUGUGUAAAAACCUGCCUGGGUACACAAGUGCCUGAAAAGGUGUGUAAAAACCUGCCUGGGUACACAAGUGCCUGAAAAGGUGUGUAAAAACCUGCCUGGGUACACAAGUGCCUGAAAAGGUGUGUAAAAACCUGCCUGGGUACACAAGUGCCUGAAAAGGUGUGUAAAAACCUGCCUGGGUACACCAGUGCCUGAAAAGGUGUGUAAAAACCUGCCUGGGUACACGAGUGCAGAGUAACAGCCACACCCUGCAACACUCAGGAUGCAA